AGAGUUUGAUCCUGGCUCAGAUUGAACGCUAGCGGGAUGCCUUACACAUGCAAGUCGAACGGCAGCGCGGACUUCGGUCUGGCGGCGAGUGGCGAACGGGUGAGUAAUGUAUCGGAACGUGCCCAGUAGCGGGGGAUAACUACUCGAAAGAGUAGCUAAUACCGCAUACGCCCUACGGGGGAAAGGGGGGGAUCGCAAGACCUCUCACUAUUGGAGCGGCCGAUAUCGGAUUAGCUAGUUGGUGAGGUAAAGGCUCACCAAGGCGACGAUCCGUAGCUGGUUUGAGAGGACGACCAGCCACACUGGGACUGAGACACGGCCCAGACUCCUACGGGAGGCAGC
rnacentral:rRNA from 1 species